rnacentral:rRNA from 1 species
CAAUGGACGAAAGUCUGACGGAGCAACGCCGCGUGAGUGAAGAAGGUUUUCGGAUCGUAAAACUCUGUUUUCAGGGACGAAUGUGUGGAUUGUAAAUAAUGAUUCAUAAUGACGGUACCUGACAAGAAAGCCACGGCUAACUACGUGCCAGCAGCCGCGGUAAUACGUAGGUGGCAAGCGUUGUCCGGAAUUAUUGGGCGUAAAGCGCGCGCAGGUGGGAUAAUCAGUCUGAUGUGAAAGUUCGGGGCUUAACCCCGUGAAGCAUUGGAAACUAUUAUUCUUGAGUGCAGGAGAGGAAAGUGGAAUUCCUAGUGUAGCGGUGAAAUGCGUAGAUAUUAGGAGGAACACCAGUGGCGAAGGCGACUUUCUGGACUGUGUCUGACACUGAGGCGCGAAAGCCAGGGUAGUGAACGGGAUUAGAUACCCCGGUAAUCCUGGCCGUAAACGAUGGGUACUAGGUGUUGGGGGUAUCGACCCCUCCAGUGCCGGAGUUAACGCAAUAAGUACCCCGCCUGGGGAGUACG